ACAAAAAUAUGUCAUUACAAGAAUUAUGAAAUAUCAACAGAAGAGAGCAGGACGCAAGGCCAAAAGCUGAGCUGAGCACCACUUGGAAAACAAACAAACACACGCAAUUUGAGCAGGCCAUAAAUUAGCCCGCAUGCAGGCAUCAGGGCAGAGAUAAAAAAUGACGGUCGCUUUUUGGCCAAAAGUCAGUGGAAGAAACACGUCAACGACAGCAGCUUAGCACUUUUACUGUUAUUCAUUAAUUUUAAUGUUUGCACAACCUGCUCCAAAAAUGAGGUAGCAUGAAUUGAAUUGAAUUUGGAGUAGCCAAUGCUAAACAGCUACUAAAAUGCUACGUCUGGGCCGCACGAUAAAGCCAGAAGCAGCCAAUGAAGCUAAGUGCGGUUAUGAACCCUUUUCGCAUUUGGCUAAAAACAACAAAGAGCUCCUCCACCACCAAAGGGCUGGAGAUGGCAAUGCAGAUGUGGAGUCGCAGUUCGAGUGCCGAUUUCGAGCUGUUAGCUUUAAGAAUUGAAUUGAAGUGUACCCAGUUCAAUAAACCCGCAGGCCAAAACAAUGGCCGUGACUACGCAAUUGUUCAAUUGAUGCGCAACAAACAUGCAAAGUGGCCUGUGUUUUGUGACAAAAGAUCUACACUCAGAAACAAAAUCGGUCUACAUUUUAGUACUUCGCCAA